GCGUUGUCCGGAAUUACUGGGCGUAACGGGCUCGUAGGCGGCCCACUACGUCGGAUGUGAAAUCCCCAAGCUUAACUUGGGAACUGCAUCCGAUACUGGAUGGCUUGAAUCCGGGAGAGGGAUGCAGAAUUCCAGGUGUAGCGGUGAAAUGCGUAGAUAUCUGGAGGAAUACCGGUGGCGAAGGCGGCAUCCUGGACCGGCAUGGACGCUGAGGAGCGAAAGCUAGGGGAGCAAACAGG
rnacentral:rRNA from 1 species